rnacentral:sRNA from 1 species
UGUUUAUUUAUGUGUGUGGGCACACGUAUUUACAUGGCGAGGAUCCACACAAGCAAGAGGAAGGCAUAGGAUCCCCUGAAACUAGAGUCGCUGUUGGUUGUGAGCCACCUGACACGGAUACUGGGAGAUGAAUUCUCACCCUCGGCAACUGCAGCAAGGGCCUUAGUCACUCAGCCAUUAUUUCUAAAAGAGUUCUCAUAAGGAAAUCUAAGUCAACCCCCAGCUUUGACAGGUGAAGUCCUCUGGGAGGCUAGCUGUUCCAGGAGCCAGGACAACACUGGAAUGUCCUUCCAAACCAAGACCCAAACAGCUGAGGAGCUCCAGUUACCCAAGAUGGGCAGCAGCUUUGCCCUCAAGCUGGUGUGAACAUUCCCGCCCAAGGCCUUUAAUCUAUGUCACGUACCCUCGGUAUUUGGGUCUCAGGACCAGUUUAACUCACCUGCAUGAACCCAGUCAUGCUGUGAUGAGAAUAAAAUGAGCAGAAGACAGCGUAUCCCAUGCCUCUCUCUGGCCCUGCCGUUGUCAGACAAUCCAGCUACCUCUUGGGAACUGCCGUUUCUAUCAGACACUAUUGCUAUUGCGUGGGGCCUUUUAUCUGAGCUGUAGCAUUGAUCCUCUAAGAUGGGUGCGGUAAUUAGCCGUGCUACAGAUGAAGAAGUAGAGGCUCACAGAAGACGUCUGGCUCUUCACAUAUGAAUAUGAAUUCAGCCCCUGGUGACAACAACCUGUAAAGAUGUAAUUCCGUAUCCAGUCUCGCCCCGAGCAGAAUGCACAGGGAGAUAUGACUUUAAAGUAGUGUUCAAGCACACACAUACUUUCUGCAUGUUUUUUGGAAUCUGAGACUAAAUUCUAGAUGGGCUCUUAGCCUGUCACGCAGGGAUGGAGACUCCGGGAUGGAGGGAGCAGGACAGAGGCGUGGAAACCCUCUCACCCUGAGAAGACACCGUUUCUGGGGAUGAUGCGGCUGUCCAAUGGGUGUUGGAGAGCCAGAAGGCAGAUUCAAAGCGUUUGCGUUACCCCGCCCUCUCUACCUGCAAUUGAAAGCAGCCUCCGCUUUGGCCUGUAGAUGGCAGCCUAGGCUCAAUUGAACCCAAGCCUGGUUUGGUUUGGUUUGGUUUUGGGGUGCCCCAAUUCCCACCAGCUGAGAAUCACUUUCAGGGGGAGGCUUGGGGGUGUUAUAAACUGCUGGUGCAUGGGACUGGGCCUCGGAGACUCUGAUAGUGAUGAUCUCGUGGGUGACCGGGGCAAUUUGCUGUUGUUGGGUAUUUGCUUCCUUGCUCGCUCGCUUGCUUGGAGACAGAUGUUUGCUAUGUUGCUUCUGCUGGCAUCUAAAUCCUGGAAUCAAGUAAUCCUCCUGCCUCAGCCUCCCAGGUAGCUGGGAGUAAGAAUGCAUUUAUCCCACAGUGCCUGACCAUAAACGUCGUGUUUUACAAAGCUCCACAGCCGACUCUCCACCAAGGUUAGGAGUGACGGUUUGCACGCUGGGCGCCGUGGUUCCUGUGGGUUUGGUGGGCUGCUCAUUUGACGUCCUUUCCUUGCUGUACCUUGUGGAGCCUGGGCCCACAGAAAGAGAGGAGGACAAUGAGAAGGGGCGUCAUGUGGAGGAAUGAAGAAUACAGUCCAGACGGGAGAGAAAAUAAAGGAGGUUCUUCUCAGGCUGAGAGGAAGGAGCCUAAAGGGAGCCUGCUCGGCGAUUAAAACCCGUUUCCUUCCUUACAGAAAAGAACUACGCCAUGUAGAAGACUAAGGAUUGUUCUAGAAAGCUAGAAAACCUGCCCCUUCUACUGACCAGAGCUUUAACAUGAAUCCUGGUAGGGGCGCUGUGGACUUCAGGGCUUUGGGGGGGGGGGAGGACCUGGCCAGGCAGGGAAGUGGCAAGGAGUGGUAAGGGGUGUGGACAGCAGAAGUGGCUUCACAGAGAAAGUGGCGUCUUCCCAUGUGGACAUAUAUCCUGUGAGGCAUUAGCUGCUACAAAUGGUCCUCUCUUCCCAAUAGCUUCAUGCACAAGAAUGGAGGCUGGCUAGUCCAGUGCCUUCACGAAGAGGAACAGCAAGGGACCUGUUGCCAUAGCAACUCAUCAGGCACAGUCACACCACCAUGUCCCAAUUCUCAUCUUUGGGCAAAGCCUCAUCAUUGAGCAUCCCCCCCCCAAAAAAAAAAUCAUACUGAAUACGCAAAACUCCACGAUGAACAAAAUUUUAAAUUGAGACACGAUCCCUAUCUCCAGCUUUCCCUUUUACCUCAACUUGAAUAGCCAACAGCAUCGCUGUGGCACUUUCUAAUGAAUGCAGGCUGCAGUGGUGGGGAGCCCUGACGCUGUCCAGCCCACAUGCUUUCCGGAGCCACUUACAGCACCUGUGGAAUGUGAGUUAUCACAGAUCUGUGAUGCUGUCCGCUGAGAUAAAUUCUUUCCUCUUCAGUUUGCUUUUGGCCCUGGUGUCUUAUCACAGCCGUAGAAAGCAAGCCAAGAGAGAAACUGACAACCUAUAUUUUUACUUAAGAUUCCAGUAGGUCUUCCGGUCAUGAAAGCCUGGGUGAGUGGAUCUCUAGGAAUGCUUGUGGUUAUAGUAAUGACCACCGGCAUUGCCAGUUGGAAAAGCGAAACAAACAAAAACUUUACUUUCUUUUGCAAAAGUUUAUUUUAAUUGAUUGAAAACCACAUUACUCAUUAGGAACCCUGUGGUGUCUCAACCCACUGCACACUUGCAUAAUGUACCAAUAGUUCCAGAUCUGUGGGAACUGUGCUCCUAGCGGAGCAGUGGUGCCACCUAGUGGGAGAGUCUGGUACCGAGCACUCAAGGAUAACGCCAAACACAGCAUGACGUCCUGGAGCCUCGGCUUCAGCGCAGGUCUCUGGUAAGGGAGGCCAUGCUUAGGAACUUACACCGUGGUCGUUGAGAUGGAGCAGAUGGGAGACUGUGUGGACAGACGGGUCAGGAGGUAAGGGAGUAGGUAGGCGGGGUGUCCCCAAGGUAGAAAAGUCUCGUGACACAGCCACACACAGAUAGGGUGACCCUGAGACAGACUCUUAGCCCCUACUUUCCCAUCAGUGGAAGUGAGAGAGACCGAGACAAUAGAGAAUGUAUCUCUAACCUCUAUUAUCUUCACUUCACCUACUUGGGACAAAUAUGAGAAAAUCAAGUCCCCAGAGUCUUUGAAAACACAGGGUAUCAGGGUAGGCACUGGAAAUACAAAGAUAGGUAAGAUAGAAAGUUCGAUCGAAGUUGACCUGGGUACUGAAGUGGCUGAGGGGGGAGCAGGGAAAAGUCAAGGCCUGGUAAGCUACAGAGUGGGUUCAAAGCCAGCCUGAGCAACUCAGUGAGACCUUGUCACAAAAUAAAAAUAAAAAGUAAAUCAUAGGCUGGGGAUACAGCUUAGUUAUGAAGUCUCUGUGUAGCUUGUGUGAGGUCCAGAUUUGACCUCCAUGAUUGAAGACAGGGGCUGCUUCCAGAAACAUGUCAGAAUGUGCACUGGUGGCUGAGCUGGUGUGAAAAGACAGCCUAGCGGUGCGAGAAUUUCAGCAAACGGAAAGUGACCGUGUUUGCGGGGAAUCAAGUGAGGGUACUUUUCUUCUGUCACAGGUGGGAUGCAGCGUGAUCGUAACAGAGGCCAUGCGUGUUUGGGUAGAACUGUGGAGGGUCACACAGGUUUCACGCCGGCCUCUGAGGAGAUCUCCGUUGUGCUACACAGACUCAGCUGUGAGCUUGGACACUGUAUAUCGUUCCCAUUUUACUGUGGCUCACUUUACUCGAGUGGGAAAAGAAGAUGCGUUCCGGAGAAAUCAUACUUGGACUUGGAGAUUUUGAUCCUUUCCUGGGCUGGCCACACGGAUCUUUGAUGCCUUUUCAUCUAGGGUAGCAGCAGCAAGCUGUUCCCAGGGAGCCCCAUGGCCAUGAAGUAACUGGUCCUACUGUGUUCCCAGGGAGCCCCAUGGCCAUGAAGUGACUGGUCCUAUUGUGUUCCCAGGGAGCCCCAUGCCAUGAAGUGACUGGUCCUACUGUGUUUCCAGGGAGUCCCAUGGCCAUGAAGUGACUGGUCCUACUGUGUUCCGGGCAAAUGAGCCAAGAUGCUUGCCAGACUGGGAUGUCAAGCACACCCUCGACUGCUGCUGGCUUUUCAUUUAUGACGGCUAUGGCCCAGGUGCUCUUGAACCAAACAGCUAGUAAAGUCACGUGCAUCUCAGAGCA